AGUUACAGAAGUUGUUGUAUUUGAUAGAGGGUUUUCUGGUAGUGCGUAAGGUUACCCUUCAACAGCUGCAAUCAUUACUAGGUUUGCUUUGUUUUGCAUGUCGUGUUAUGCCCAUGGGCCGUGUUUUUUCCAGGCGAUUGUCAUUGGCCACCCGGGGGGCUAAAUCCCCGCAUCAUCGCAUUCGUCUGACUAGGUCCCUGAAAGCCGACUUGCGUGUAUGGCAGGAGUUUCUACACUCUUACAAUGGGCACACGUGUGUGAUCUCUGACGAGAUGCCUAAUUCGGUUCUGUCCCUUUUUUCGGAUGCCUCCGGUGCCUGUGGUUUUGGCACCAUUUUUGGUAAGGAAUGGUGCUCUGCUCCUUGGCUGGAUUUGUGGCGCUCGCAGGGCUUCUGUAAGAAUUUGACGUUGCUGGAGUUAUUUGCGAUCGUGGUGGCGGUGGAGAUUUGGGGUCAGGACCUUUCAGAUCACCACGUGUGCUUUUGGUCUGAUAACCUUAGUGUGGUCCAUUGUAUCAACCGCCUGUCUUCUUCUUCCCUCCCGGUAAUUGCGCUUCUGCGACAUUUGGUCUUGCGUUGCCUGGAGCAUAAUAUCUAUUUCAGGGCUCGACAUGUUCCAGGUGUUGAUAACAGUAUUGCUGAUGCUCUUUCCCGUUUUCGUUGGCAGGUUUUUCGGGAGCUGCUUCCGGAGGCGGAGCACAUCGGGAAGGAAUGUCCGGAGUACCUAUGGCGUUUGGUGGCCAGCAACUGAUGUCCCUGGUUGGGUCUUCGGUGUCUCCAGCGACCUGGCGGGGUCAUGGUAAGGCAUGGGCCGACUGGUUAUCAGGGGUGGGCGCUAGGAACGUUUCCACGCAGGAUUCCCUCCGCUUGGAGGUGACGGUGGAAUGGUUACUCAAACUUAGAUCGAUGGGUGUGUCUGCACCAGUUGCGCAGCGGCGGUUGUCUGGAGUAGCUUUUUUCUUUCGUCUUUGUGGUUGGCCUGAUGUCUCCAAGCAUUUUGUCAUCAGGCAGGCCAUGAAGGGUUGGAAGAAGGAAUAUGUGCUUAAGGAUUGUAGACGGCCUAUUUCGUUUGGCCUGUUGUGUAGGCUGGUCGAAGCAUGUUCGGGGGUGUGUGCUUCAGCGUUUGAAGCAACGUUGUUCUCGGCUUGUUUUAGUUUGGCCUUUUUCGCUGCCCUUCGAGUGGGCGAAUUGCUCCCCCCCUCUGGUAAGAAGCCAGGGGGUUUGUUGUUUCAGGAUGAUUUUGGCACCCAUUCGUUUCGCAUUGGUGCUGCUACGGAGGCGGCCAGAGCUGGCUUGCCGGAGUCGGAGGUAAUGCGCAUUGGUAGGUGGCAAUCUGCCUGUUAUGCCAGGUACAUCAGGCCGGAUCUCUUGAUUUAAAAAAAAAUAAAAUAAAAAAAAUGAUA